UACGUAGGGUGCAAGCGUUGUCCGGAAUUAUUGGGCGUAAAGAGCUCGUAGGUGGCCUGUCGCGUCGGCUGUGAAAACUCGGGGCUCAACUCCGAGCUUGCAGUCGAUACGGGCAGGCUAGAGUUCGGCAAGGGAGACCGGAAUUCCUGGUGUAGCGGUGAAAUGCGCAGAUAUCAGGAGGAACACCGGUGGCGAAGGCGGGUCUCUGGGCCGAUACUGACACUGAGGAGCGAAAGCGUGGGGAGCGAACAGG
rnacentral:rRNA from 1 species